rnacentral:lncRNA from 1 species
ACAAAUUCAAAAGACCUGACAGUAUUUACACAUUAUUUAAUGUUCCAUUUAACAUUUUAAAAUUUAAAAUCUUCUCUUUCAGAAAUCCAACCGCAACAAGGUAUAGCAUCAUCAUAUAUAAGAAGAAUCUGGUAGUACUCAUGGGGAGGCCAAAUCUCCUGCUGAUCUCUCCACAACUUGACUCAUCACUAUCACAUUUAAGACAGACUACUUUGAGAUCAUCUACCAUCCUCACCACUUUAUAGAAAGAAAGCCCAGAGAAGUCAGAGUUCAAGGUUCCAGCUCACUUAAUCAAUUCUCACUCAAGUUUUUAAAAGAACCAACUAGGAUCUUCGUUGGCCUGAUUCUGCAACAGUUACUUACCUCAGGAAUGUUGAAUUAUUCUUAGAUUUAUCUAAGAACUGAAAAUGGCCAUCUAACUAAACUUUGUCCACUUAUAAAUGGUAAAUAGUAUAGCAUGAUCAUU